GCCCUGCUCCAACAGCCGGUCUGCCUCAUCCAUCACCUGUCGUGCCGGCAGCAGUGGCUGUUCUUGUCGCCAUUCCCAACGUGGUGCUGGAUGGCCUGUGGGACACACAUUUCCCACAUGGAUGUAUCAGGGCCCCAGGCUGACUUACCAGGAAGCGAAUCUUCUUUAUGCUGAAGGCAUUCUGACAACUUUCCAUUUAGAGCAACUGACACAUUUUAGAAAGGUGAGGCCAUUAUCAUCCCCAUUUAACAGAAGAGGAAACAAAGUCUCAAAGAUUUGCCCAGGAUACACAGACAGUGAGUAUCAGGCUGGACUGGAACCCACAUCCAUCUGACAUGAGAGGCCUGCUACUAACCACGACCUCGUUUUGACUCCUUCCGGGGUAUCAGGGCUUGGGAAACCCAGAAUGUCCUCCCCCCAAUCUGCAUCCUAUGCUCCCUACUGACUGCUUCAUCCUUGUUUAUUUAAUGCCUCAAUUUGUCACAUCCUAGGCUUCCUGAAGGCGUCUCUUUAAUGGCAAAACUGGGUUGGACCAGAGGAGUGGGGAGAAGAGCAGUCUAGGGACCAGAGCCGUGGAUUUACCAGUAAUCUUGACUCAGUUUCCAUUUGUAAAAUGGAGAUAGUAAUCCAAGCUCUACCGAAUUUUCCCAGUACUAUCUAUUAGUUAUUCAUCAAACCCUCCCAGUGCCCUGAGACUAUAAAAGUUUCAGAGAUUACAUCACUUGGGUGCGGACACACGGCGAGUCAGCCGUACACCCUAAACGCCGACACUGCCUAGUCUGCCUCCGGAACCCAGGAUCGCCCGUAAGGGCCAAGACUGCCCUUCGCCUCACGGGGCCGGCGUGGGCAAAAGCUGCGAGAAGGCAAAGUGAGGCGACAGGAGCGGGGACGCCUCCUGGAGAAGAGGCCUA